rnacentral:rRNA from 1 species
CUCCUACGGGAGGCAGCAGUAGGGAAUAUUGGGCAAUGGCCGCAAGGCUGACCCAGCCAUGUCGCGUGCAGGAAGAAGGGAUUAUGUCCUGUAAACUGCUUUUAGCAGGGGAAGAAAAAGGCCAUGCGUGGCCAAUUGACGGUACCCUGAGAAUAAGCACCGGCUAACUCCGUGCCAGCAGCCGCGGUAAUACGGGGGGUGCAAGCGUUGUCCGGAUUUAUUGGGUUUAAAGGGUGCGUAGGCGGGCCAUUAAGUCAGUGUUAAAAUUCGGCAGCUCAACUGUCGGCCCGGCAUUGAUACUGAUGGCCUUGAGUACAAACGGGGCAGGCGGAAUUUAUGGUGCAGCGGUGAAAUGCAUAGAUACCAUAAGGAACACCGAUAGCGAAGGCAGCUUGCUAGGUUGUAACUGACGCUGAGGCACGAAAGCGUGGGGAUCAAACAGGAUUAGAUACCCUGGUAGUCCACGCCGUAAACGAUGAUUACUAGGUGGUGGCGAUAGACAGUCAGCGCCUGAGCGAAAGCGUUAAGUAAUCCACCUGGGGAGUACGCCCGCAAGGGUGAAACUCAAAGGAAUUGACGGGGGUCCGACAAGCGGUGGAGCAUGUGGUUUAAUUCGAUGAUACCCGAGGAACCUUACCUGGGCUA